GACGAACGCUGGCGGCGUGCUUAACACAUGCAAGUCGAACGGUAAGGCCCUUCGGGGUACACGAGUGGCGAACGGGUGAGUAACACGUGGGUGAUCUGCCCUGCACUUCGGGAUAAGCCUGGGAAACUGGGUCUAAUACCGGACAGGACCACUGCCUGCAUGGGUGGUGGUGGAAAGCUUUCGCGGUGUGGGAUGGGCCCGCGGCCAACCAGCUUGUUGGUGGGGUGAUGGUCUACCAAGGCGACGACGGGUAGCCGGCCUGAGGGGGUGACCGGCCACACUGGGACUGAGAUACGGCCCAGACUCCUACGGGAGGCAGCAGUGGGGAGUAUUGCACAAUGGGCGCAAGCCUGAUGCAGCGACGCCGCGUGAGGGAUGACGGCCUUCGGGUUGUAAACCUCUUUCAGCACCGACGAAGCGCAAGUGACGGUAGGUGCAGAAGAAGGACCGGCCAACUACGUGCCAGCCGCCGCCGUAA
rnacentral:rRNA from 1 species